AUUGAACGCUGGCGGCAUGCUUUACACAUGCAAGUCGAACGGUAACAGGCCGCAAGGUGCUGACGAGUGGCGAACGGGUGAGUAAUGCAUCGGAACGUGCCCAGUCGUGGGGGAUAACGCAGCGAAAGCUGCGCUAAUACCGCAUACGAUCUAUGGAUGAAAGCGGGGGACCGAAAGGCCUCGCGCGAUUGGAGCGGCCGAUGUCAGAUUAGGUAGUUGGUGGGGUAAAGGCUCACCAAGCCAACGAUCUGUAGCUGGUCUGAGAGGACGACCAGCCACACUGGGACUGGGACACGGCCCAGACUCCUAAGGGAGGCAACAGUGGGGAAUUUUGGAAAAUGGGCGCAAGCCUGAUCCAGCAAUGCCGCGUGCAGGAAGAAGGCCUUCGGGUUGUAAACUGCUUUUGUACGGAACGAAAAGGCUCUGGUUAAUACCUGGGGCUCAUGACGGUACCGUAAGAAUAAGCACCGGCUAACUACGUGCCAGCAGCCGCCGCCGUAA
rnacentral:rRNA from 1 species